rnacentral:lncRNA from 7 species
AUCUCACUGAAGAUUCCUGUUUACCUGAGGUCUUCUAAGAUGUGGCUGAGGAAAAUCACAACACCAGCUGCAUGUAAGAAACUCCUGGAAAGAAGAACAAAGCCAUCUGUUCUCCAUGUCCACGAAGGCAUGCACAAGAACUAAUGGGUGUACCCUACAUCAAGAAAGAUUCAGGCUUGUUCACAGGAGACUGGCUGAAGAGCACACUCAUUGCUGUUUUCCCCCAAGCACUCAGUCCUGAAGAGGGAACAGUUACAGCACCUGGAGCUGCAAGCAAAACCUCGCAAGAAAGAAAGUGCAAAUGUCCCAGAACUUUUGCAGGGUUAAGACCACCUGGCUGCGUCUCAUGUCUACAAAAUCAAGGACAGCUGCUAAACAUCUGAAAAACAAGACAUUAUGAAUUAAGAUCAGUCUCAUGAUGCUGCAGCCCUGUCCCCUGCCAGGCAUGUCUGCUCUCUAGUACCCACCACCCUACCCUGGAGGCCGCACAGCACUGCAGGGGAGCAAAGGAGCCUUCUCUUUGCUGAAGCGAAGCUCAGGUGCAGGUCAGGCAGGACAGAUGGGAGCUGCCCACAUCAUCCCUGUGUUUGGGCAGUGAGCUUCCUAAAACAGCUCCACCUGCGCCUGCUGUGGUCACCCUUUCACUCUUACUGCAGGGAUUCCUUCUGAGAUGCACCUUCCCUUCCUCUGGAAGGUACCAAUGCUGAUGUUGUACAGGCCACACGGCAGCUCACAGCUCCAUGUGGCCCAAAGGCUGCUCUGUGUGCUUCAGAUGAUGCACUGUGCUGAGAGGCUGAUUCAUCCCUGCAGACCUCAGCCUGGUGGCUCUUACCCACCUUUCACCAUUCAGCACAAGCACACCCAACAGUGAAUGCAGAUAAAUGCUGCAGUUAAAAAUCACUGUUGGUGAACACAAUCAUGGCAUGUUCUUGUAGCCCUUCUUUUGUGCCAUUCUAUUUUAGGGGUAACAGGUUCUAGGUCUUCAGAGGCAGGGAGCAGAAGAUUAUUUUAUUCAGUCUGGGGUCUUAACCAUUAUCAGUGCUCAUAAUUUGGGUCCUAAGCAAGGACACCCACAUUGUCUGUAGCAUCUUCAGGGCACUGGGUCUGCCAUCAUUAGGCCCUUCAUUCAGGUCCUGUAGGGUUUCUCUUUGUCCACCCCUGCAGGGACUGAGAGUCUGUCCUCAGGGCAGCCUUACGAAUACUGU